UACGUAGGGUGCAAGCGUUGUCCGGAAUUAUUGGGCGUAAAGAGCUCGUAGGCGGUUUGUCGCGUCUGCUGUGAAAACUCGGGGCUUAACCCCGGGCCUGCAGUGGGUACGGGCAGACUAGAGUGCGGUAGGGGAGACUGGAAUUCCUGGUGUAGCGGUGAAAUGCGCAGAUAUCUGGAGGAAUACCGGUGGCGAAGGCGGCAUCCUGGACCAUUACUGACGCUGAGGCGCGAAAGCUAGGGGAGCAAACGGG
rnacentral:rRNA from 1 species